GGGGCGACAGUGACAGAGGGAGGGGGUGACUAGUGACAGAGUGCGGGGAUGACUAGUGACAGAGUUAGGGAGGGAGUGACUAGUGACAGUCACCAUCUCCCUCCCUCUGUCACUAGUCACCCCCUCCCUCAUUCUGUCGCUAGUCACUAGUCACCCCCCCGUCACUAGUCACCCUCUCCCUCACUCUGUCACUAGUCACCCUCUCCCUCUGUCACUAGUCACACCC